rnacentral:rRNA from 1 species
AACGGAGGGAACGAGUGUUAUUCGUAUUGAUGGGUGUAAAACGUGUGUAGAUGGCUUUUUUUGUUUUGUUUUAAAUUUUUUUAUCUUGGGAUAAAAAUAAAAUAUAAAUACGGAAAAGCUUGAGUAUUUAUAAAACAACAGUAUCUUAAGUGUAAGGUGAAAUUUAAAAAUAUUUUUGAGACUAGCGUUAGGCGCAGGCGGUGUUAAGAAAUAUACUGACAUUGAGACACUAAAGCUUAGUAGCAAAUAGG